rnacentral:snRNA from 1 species
CAACGGGUGAGUAAACCCGUAA